GCCCGGGUGGAGAAAUUGGUAAACUCACAGGACUUAAAAUCCUGCGGGCCUUAACCGCCCUUGCCGGUUCAAAUCCGGCCCCGGGCA
rnacentral:tRNA from 1 species